CUGGAUGCCGUUCGUUUGAGAUUGCACAUCUGCGAGCAGCCUCCCCGUCCCGAUACGCUCGACCGCACUGCGCCCGGAGAUCUUCGAGGUCGUGCUUCGCGGCAACUUGCAAUUCCCGCUGCGCGCCUUCGUCAUUCCGCGCGGCGGCGGCCUUCUUCCCCGUCGGCGUGGUCCAGCCCUCCGCGAGGCACUGGUCGAGUCCGCCAAUAGGGAUGUCGUCGAGUCAAGACGAGCUCUUCACCCGUUCCCGUUUGCUCCCGCCCCUGCGGCCAGGCGGUUCCCUUCGUCGGCGCCAGGGAAUCGAUCCAGCAGAGUCGGGUUCCUGCUUCGUCGGGUGGGAUAGGGGAGGGGUUCCCGGCUGAUUUGGCCUAGCAGUAGCUAGCGCCGAUCGAAUCGAUUGGUUGAUGGAUGAAGUGCCUGCUGAUGAUGUGCUCGCUCAACUGGGCUGCGAUCCUAGACGCGUCCGCGUCACUCACCGGAGUUGUUUGCCUGUUCAUGGUUGCUUUCGUGAUGCUGGAGUUCAUUUAGCCAUUAGAAUUGGACACAAAAUGAUGGGCAGAAGCAGCGGUGGUGCCAGAGUUUAUUACUUCAUUUAGUCAGUAGAACUAGCGCUAGUUUUUCCGUGAUCCUGCGGAGACGUCUCUCGUGAAGCUGGAACUGCAGCAGCUAUGGCCUGAGUUAGCAUGAAUGUGUUUGUUCUCUGAACCUAUGUAGUAGUGCUUGUAGAUACAAUCUGGUUCAUUUCUCGUUGAAGUUGAAGAGAGGGUCAGUACUAAUACUUAGUACUUUGUACGCAGACUUUGUUAGAAAGAAAAUGGAGCAAAAAUAUCUGCAUGUUUGUGUACAAA